AUUGAACGCUGGCGGCAUGCUUUACACAUGCAAGUCGAACGGCAGCACAGGGAGCUUGCUCCUGGGUGGCGAGUGGCGAACGGGUGAGUAAUGUAUCGGAACGUGCCUGGUAGUGGGGGAUAACUACUCGAAAGAGUGGCUAAUACCGCAUGAGAUCUUUGGAUGAAAGCGGGGGACCUUCGGGCCUCGUGCUACUGGAGCGGCCGAUAUCAGAUUAGGUUGUUGGUGGGGUAAAGGCCUACCAAGCCUGCGAUCUGUAGCUGGUCUGAGAGGACGACCAGCCACACUGGGACUGAGACACGGCCCAGACUCCUACGGGAGGCAGCGGUGGGGAAUUUUGGACAAUGGGCGCAAGCCUGAUCCAGCAAUGCCGCGUGCAGGACGAAGGCCUUCGGGUUGUAAACUGCUUUUGUACAGAACGAAAAGUCUCUGGCUAAUAUCUAGAGAUCAUGACGGUACUGUAAGAAUAAGCACCGGCUAACUACGUA
rnacentral:rRNA from 1 species